UGCUAUCGUCAUUGCGUAGGUUUCGGGGCUGACGUCGUAACGCUCUUCUCCACGCAAGAAAUCUGGCCAAGACAAUAGCCAGGGACAAGCCAGUGAGUACGUUUGAAUGUACUCGCAAACAUUAAGAAUACGGGUGUAAUAUAACAAGGGAUAAUCAUGCUCCGAAAUACUCAUGAUCAUAGCGUCUGUCACGAAUAAACGAAAUCCGUGAUGCACGCAUGCAGGUAAAAUGUGAACAUGCAAUACGGGAGUAGAAAAUAGGAUGCACUGAUCGAGUGUCUGAAAUGACUCCUCGAAAGAGGGUAAAAGAAUUAAUAAUGCCGCAGUCGGGCGUUUGAGCGACACCACAUAAAGGGCUUAUAAAGAAUGAAUAAAUAACAAACAUGCCGCAGUCGGGCGUCUGAGCGACGCCACAUAAAGGGCUUAUAAAGAAUAAAUAAAUAACAAACGUGCCACAGUCGGGCAUCUGAGCGACACCACAUAAAGGGCUUAUAUAAGAAUAAUCACAGUGAAUAUCCAGGAGGUAGAACCAUCCCAGGGAUACUCAAUAAUUCAAAUAAUGUAAAUGGUUGGUCCAUGAUAAUAACAAACAUAAUCCUCAUAUGUCACAGGUCAUAAACAAAAUCUAGUUUAGCCGUUUCUCCAUCCGAAGACCGUCACCAACAUAAUCAUAAUCCAAUGAUCUAGUCUAGCCGUUUCUCCAUCCGAAGACCGUCACUAGAUUCUAGUUUAGCCGUUUCUCCAUCCGAAUACCGUUACUAUGAUCCAGUUUAACCGUGUCUCCAUCCGAAAACCGUCACUAGACUCAUCUCAGACUGUAGUUCUUACCCAUGGACGUGGCCAUCCGAAAUAGAUAUAACCUCUGCAGAGGGUGCACUCUUUACCCACGAGUAACGGAUUUAUUUAGUCCAUCGGGACUAAUUCCGCCUAUGGCCUUUUAAUUGAAAACACGCCUGACUUGCACACAGCAGCUUAACUUACCGGUGUAUGGAAUCACCCACGACACCCGUCAAGCAAAACUCUAAGUGGGGAGGCUACAACCUCGACGUAGCAUGGGAUCAAAUUUAUAUCGCGCGCUCUAAGGGGUGCCCCCCUCUCGGUCCUAACCGGAAACACCCAUGCCCCCGGACCAGGUGGCAUGCCUACCGGAUGCAUCCGGUAUCUUCCACCAUGGCCUCUCUAUACGGUGUGUGCUUUGGUAAGGGGUUGACAACUUACUGAACCAUACCCUACCUGCGGCAGGGACAAGUGAUAGUACAAAACAAGUAGGGGAAGUCACUGAACAAGACUCGACCUACGACCGACUCAGGAGGUCCAAGAAUUCUCCAACAAUAUUACCAAUAACAGACAAACUCACCACUCAUCAAGCCUCACCAUGCCAUACCGGACAUACUCGUCUCGACGAGGAACUAGGGACAAGCUCGUGUCUACCCCAGACCACGACUUUCCCGGCUUCCUUCCGGUAUGCAUGAGAAGCUCACGAGGAUGACUACCAUCAUCAGCAUGACCAUUACUACCAGCAAAGAAUCUCCAUUGUGCAUUCAUGCGAAUGAUUUUUAUCGUCACAUAAAAAAAUAACGUAUGCUCCAAGUCAAGUGGUGUUGUAACCGUAUCAAAACACCACACAAAAAUAUUAUGCCAGAGUUCAGAAUGCUUGCCUUCAAGAGUAUGCAAGGGGGGGGUGCACUUUUGAAAGUUUUCUUCUCUCUCCAAAAUCCUAUUUUGAGAAAUAAUCAAAUAACACGCAUUUCAAACACAGUACAACAAGUUGUCUCCAAUAUUUUUGAAAUAAAUCUUAAAAUAAACUAGAGGAAAUUUAAGAGAGGUAGAAAAAAGAAUCAACUCAUUUGGAGUUUUAUUUUAAAAGAUAUAGCCAGUCAAAGUUUGGUCAAAGUUCUGUUUUAAAUAAAACCAGAAAAAGGAAAACGCUUCGAUACAGAAUACGCUUUCGGGGUAGGGGAUACGUACUCGCGGAAAUACGCUUCCACUUAAGCCAGCGCGGGUGGCGCGGGGGUCACUGACAGUGGGUCCAGAGGGCCCACUGGUUAGGUUUGACUAUUCCCCCCUCUCCCUCCUCUUCUUCUGCCCGAACGGGGCGGGUCUCCGGCGAUCGCCGUCGACGAACGGCGGCUCCUCGAGGGCACCUGAGGGCAGGGAUGGACCCGCCAGACCGGGGCGGUCCUCUCGGUGGUCGCUGGGUCGACGGUGGUGGGAGGACUCGCCGGUGGCGAGCUCCGCGGCGGAGAGGGCUACGGGAGUGAAGUGGGUUUUGGGCUCCGGUGGUUUCCGAUCGAGGCUGAGGCGCUGGGCAGCUCCGCAAGAACAAGGGGAAGCGAGUGGUGGCGCUGGAUGGGCGAGGGAGUGCCUGGUUGCGACGAAUGGCACCGGAAGGCAGCGGCGGCCGAACCGGCCGGAGGUGGGGAAGAUGGCCUUGUCCGGUCAAUCCACUGUUAGGGGAGCACUAGGGGGACAGCCUGAGGCCGCCUGAGAGCUCGGAGGGGCUCGGGGUCUCCUUUUAUAGGUGUUUGAGGCUGGUCCCGCGGCGGCCGUGGAUAAGAACACCGGCGACCGUCGCGCUGUAGCUGCAGGGCGACGUGGCGGCGACGAGCGCGUGCCGACGAGCUUCAGGAUAAGCUCGAGCUGUUCACAAGGGCAGCUGGCGCGCGCGAGUGGCUUGGGCGGCGCCGUCCAUGGCAGGCGCUCACUGCCGACGCCGGGGUGCCGCCAAAAGCCCUGACGGCGGCGCUGUAGGGCGCCAGAGGUGGCGUGGAGAGUGGGCGAGGUUAGUGCGCGGCUCUGCAGGCGAGCAAGGGCCAGGGGUGGGACGCGGCGAGGGCGGCAGUGCGACGCGGCGACUCGGUGCGCGCGCGUGCAAAACGUGCGCUUUGGGCGCGCUCAGAGCACGCACGGGGCAUGCUCGACGAAAUGCCAGGGCAGCCUAGAAUGCUGGAGAGAGGCUGGCAAUUAACAGGACUAGGUUAGGAGUAGCUAGGAGCUUAGUGGACAAGGUUGCUGGGUCAGUGGAUCAAAUCCAUAAUACUAACUAGAAAACAUGCCAAAACUGACUGUGCACACCAAGUGUUCGACAGAAUGCUAAGUGCAUUUAGGCAACUCUUGGAGUGGCCAAAAUCUCCAGAUCAGGGUCUCCCUGGAUGUAAGUGAUGAUGGCAAGGUCAUUUGGGCAAAACCAGAAACUUGCUAGUGCAAGUUUUGCAAAACUACAGUUUUGGGCAGAAAGAAAGAGGUCUCAUUGCAUGCACUUAAAAUCCUCCAAUGGGUCCACUCUCCUGGACUUAAGGGUUUUGUAGGGAGGGCUACAAGUUGGAAAAAGUUCAUGGGCACUAGAGCAAAAUAAAAUAGGGUUGCAGUACAAAUCAUCAAACUGAACCAGAAUGAAAAAGAGGUUGAUUCACUCAAAUUUUUCAAAGAACAACACUGGGUUUUUGCAUGAAGUUGAAUUAUAUGCAUCUACUGACAUCUCCAAACACUUGGAAGAAUUUUUAAAGAAAUAUUUAAAUAGGUUGUAGUGCAAAAGUGCCUACUGGACCAGAUUUGAAAAGUUGAUGUAGAGCUCAAAAUAUCCAAUAACCAAAAGAUAUUUUGGCAUAAAAGUGAUGUGGAAACAUCACAUGACAUCCCCAAAUUUUGGUGGAAAUUUUAGAUGCAUCUGUCAAAUGGUUGCAGUGCAAAACAGGCUCCAUAUUUAUGAAAGAUCAUUUUAAAAGAGUAAAGCUCAAGAAAAAGCAAACCUUGCAAUUAAAUCCAAUGAUCAAGAAUUGUUCCAUAGAGAGAGCAUACAAGUCCAAUAAUAUCUUUGGAAAGUUUUCACUUGAGGUAAAAACCCAUAAUAUCAAAAGGGUAAAUCUAGACAAAUGGAAAAGUUUUAUUUCCUGGCAAAAUUUUAAUGAAUAAAACAAGGUCAAAAUUUUGGGGUGUCACAACACUACCCCCUUAAGAAAAAUCUCGUCCUCGAGAUUUGUUAAAAGCCUUUUUGAACAAACAUUGCUUUUAUCAAAAGAAAACAUUCUACUGUGCAAUAAAAAAAGUGGCUACAGUGAGAGGGCAAUAAGUGGUGUAAUACCACAGUGUGGUACACUGGCAUAGUGUGGAAAAAUCCAUGGUCGGGGAAAAAUGAGAUAUUUCUACGUGGAUACAGUAAUUCAGAAUAAAUUCUAAAUUACUAAAACACGCUGGUCGUACCCGAGAGCACAAUGCUCUCUCUGGCUGACAGGUGGACCCAGGGCCCACUGUCGGCCUCUUUUUCUACCUCUGGCUCUCUCUUCUCUCUCGCGUGCUCUCCCGCGCUUCCUGCACCGGCAACGCCUAGCGCGUAGGGCAUCUAGGCCGUACUGCGGUAGUGCGCGGCGUGCUAGCUGCCGGUGCAGCGUGCACUCACCUCGCGGGCCAGUGCACUGUCGGCACUGCUCGCGGACUCGCCUCCGAACACCGGCGAUCGAGCGACGAGUGGCGCUGGUGGACCUCGCCCACCGUACACCGAUCUCGAGCUAUAAAACGAUCGCGGUGCUCCUCUCUUCUUCCUCACACCUGGCCUCGCUUCUACUUCUCCUUCCUUUUCCUCCAUUGCUGUUAGUAGGGGCUCGAGGCGAGGCUCUAAUGGCGGAGGCGAUGCCGGAUUGGUACGUGGUCCUGGUGUGUGGAGGUUUGGCGACGCUGCUGGGGUUAUCCAUGCUCUUGUACGCGAUGAUCCUGGAUGAACGUCGUGAUGCUGCCGCUCGAGUGCUAGCUCUUCGCGGUGGCGGCGAUCAUGAGGAUUAGGCGCGGCAUCGAGGGCUAACUGCUGUCGGUGCGCUGGGGCAACUUGCACCCGAAUGGUUACUCACAAAUCUCUCUUACUGAGACUGUGGUGUCCUCGGGUGUGAUCAGUUAGGCGCAAAAACAUGCAUGAGAAUUUGUAAUUAGCGCACGCGGUCGAGUGGUUGCGGUUGUGAGUCUGCUGUUACGGUGCUGCAUGAAUAAAAAUCUAUGCCGUGAAGAUAUAUACGCUGCAGCAACUCGGGGAAAGAAAUCUCAUUACAAAAUUUUAUCGCAAGUAAAAAUUAGUUAAAACAAAAUUAACAACAGUAAAACUGCUCACAUAAAUGAAACCAAAAAAUCGGAUCCAUCGCACAAAUUUUUGGAUACCACGCACAAGUUACAACACAUAAAUAAAUACUGGGAUAAUAAAUAUAGCGGUGACGUUUACAAUGUAAACGGCAAAAGGACAGGGUCCUGAGAAAACGCCUCUGGUACUGGGGCACACUCCUCUUCUAUCGGGGGAAGUGGGUUGACAAGUCGAUGAAUGCGCCUCUCCUGGUCAGGCCUCAGUGGUCUGCCAAUAGCGAUCCGAGGAUUUAAAUCAGCGAGGCUCUGGAGAUAACCCAUUACCCGCUGAGUCAAACGCUCCUGAGCGAUAACGUACUGGGCAAGGUUGGCCAGUACUGGAUCUCUCUCAAUUCGUCCACCAGGAAAAGAUGCAACUUCUCCGGGUGCUGCACGACUCGGAAAAUAAUAAUAUCCUCGUUCGCUGGCAUAGGGUACCGCGAAUCGAAGACGAGCGAGUGCUCCGUACGCAGCAACUUCUAUGGCCAUAUGCGGAGUCGGCAUGGAUUUCCCCACGAAGGAAACUUCCGUUGGGUCUUGGUUUGGGUUUGCGGGAGGGAUGUGCACCACUGCCCAAUAUUUCGAGGUGGAUGGAGUGAUCCUCGAUUUGAGCAACUCGUACUGGGGUGGAUGGAUGGCACUCAUGGUAUUGCAGGUAAAGUCCCACAAUAAUUUAACAAAACUACGCGGGGUUGCGUCUGGGGUUCUCAGAUAAAUACUAGGGGUCGGCAUGGCGAAGGAAUGGCUGUGAGAGUUGCGCACAAGGUGAGGGGUACUCGGUAAGGUCACGAGGUGGCCUUUAUAUAGCAUUGGGGCUGGGUUAUCUACCGUGGUGAAGGGUAACUGGUUGUCGAUCCUGUUCUGGGGUCAAACCCACAAAUAUACCUAUCUCAUAAAGGUGACGCAAUACUGUGGGUGCCGUCGGGGUUGGUCUUGGUAGCUGCGCCCGAUAUUUAGAAAAAAUGCAACUGUACGCCAACGUACAUAUGCAUAGCUGCUACUCCAAAAAUAGGGGCGCACAAGCAGACAACAUUUAAUAAAAGCGAUACAAGAUCACACCAUUACAAAGCGUAGGGAAACUAAGGCUUGAUACAACUCGAGUGUCUAGUCUACUUCGUUAAUGUCUAAGUGGGCUGGCCUGGUAGACGCCGGGGUUUCUCCAUGGUUCUCACCGUCGGGAUUUGCUGGUUGAGGUUGAGGGGCUGUAGGGUCGGGGUAGUGGUGGUGACCAUCGCGGGGGUUGCUGGCCACAAUCCCGUUGGAACGGGUUCCCAAAAGGCGACGAAGCGCUUCUGGGGACACCAAAGCACUCUGGUUGAUGGUUGGGGCAGACCUCAAGGGAUCAAUCGGGUGUCCGAACAGCACGACUGGGUUGUCGGCGUCGGGCUCCAUUUCUCCUCUCGCCGGGGCUCGGCGAACCAGUUCUCCACGAGCUGCGAUCAGAUCAAGGGUGAUUUGAUCGAACAGUUGCUCUAGUGCACUUACAUAGCGCACCAGAUGCAACAGUGCAGGAUCUGUCUCGUGAUCUCCGUUGGCGACCUGGGGCGGCCUACCAUACCCGUCACGACUGGGGUAGUAGUAGAACGAGCGACAGUUAACUCUGGGCGACGAGUGCCGGAGUUGAACUAUAGCUUCUCGGGCUGCUAGCUGGAUGGCUUGUGGCUCAAAGGAAGUUGUCCUUCCAGUGAACCUGUAGGGGCAUUCUGGCGACAGACCCCUACCAUAGAUGUGCACAGUGGCCCAGUACUGACGGCUCUCACCGUACAUGGGUCCUUGGUACACAACAUAUUCAGGAGGCUCUUCUAAUGCAUAGGCACGGCGGGUGAGGUUUGCGAGCACGGUCACAAAACCUCCAAGGUUGGUUGCUGUGGUCUCAUUGUGAACAAUGGGGCCAGGCAUCGUGGCUUGGUUUGGGGAAAGAGGCUCUGCUGUGCUGUGUUGAGGCUAGCGUGCCCUUUUUAUAGAAAAAGGGGACGGAGUCUUCCUUCGCACGCUUGCGAAUGAGACGUGUUCGGUGUCGGUCACUGGCGCGUGAUCGACGGGCUAGGCUGACAGGUUAGGCACCGUCCACCGAAAGGCGUCGGGUCACUAUGGGGCUAUCUUACGCGAGAAGCUUGGCCGGGAUUAGGUUAAGGUCUGGUGGUUUGGUUAACCUAGGUUUAUUGACCUGGCUAAGAUAGGAUUAGCCAAUGGUCAGCCUGGCUCUGAUACCAAGUCUGUCGCGACCGGCUUUUCGGGAUAUUGAUAUCCCAGAAAGCGGCCUUUGUGCUCACCAACCCCAGGAUUACUGUUAGCUGAUGAGGCACCAACUUGAUACAAGAAUUCCAAGCAAAGUACAAAAUAUGCAGUACAAGACCAUUGUGGCCUAGGAGUACAACACUUGGUUUCUAGUGGUUGAUGGCGGAAGCGGAUUGCGGUACAUCUGCGUCUAUGGGACUCCAUUUCCCACAUGAACAGCUGACCAGGAUAACUCCUAUCUUCGCGAGGCUGCUAUCGUCAUUGCGUAGGUUUCGGGGCUAACGUCAUAACGCUCUUCUCCACGCAAGAAAUCUGGCCAAGACAAUAGCCAGGGACAAGCCAGUGAGUACGUUUGAAUGUACUCGCAAACAUUAAGAAUACGGGUGUAAUAUAACAAGGGAUAAUCAUGCUCCGAAAUACUCAUGAUCAUAGCGUCUGUCACGAAUAAACGAAAUCCGUGAUGCACGCAUGCAGGUAAAAUGUGAACAUGCAAUACGGGAGUAGAAAAUAGGAUGCACUGAUCGAGUGUCUGAAAUGACUCCUCGAAAGAGGGUAAAAGAAUUAAUAAUGCCGCAGUCGGGCGUUUGAGCGACACCACAUAAAGGGCUUAUAAAGAAUGAAUAAAUAACAAACAUGCCGCAGUCGGGCGUCUGAGCGACGCCACAUAAAGGGCUUAUAAAGAAUAAAUAAAUAACAAACGUGCCACAGUCGGGCAUCUG
rnacentral:lncRNA from 1 species